rfam:Heterocephalus glaber contig102805, whole genome shotgun sequence.
GUCUACAGCCAUACUACCCUGAAUGCUCCCGAUCUCUUCUGAUCUCAGAAGCUAAGCAGGGUCGGGCCUGGUUAGUACUUGAAUGGGAGACUGAGAAAAAUCCAUGACAUUUAUCUA